ACUGGGUUGGCCGAGUGGUUAAGGCGUUGGACUUAAGUUCCAAUGGACAAGUGUA
rnacentral:tRNA from 1 species